AAUAUUGGGACAUAUAAAAAAAGACAACUCUGUUCCGCAGAGUAGCUGUUGACAUUAUAGUUGCGCAGGAACUUUGUUGACUCUAGAGAACCUCAGGCAAAUUGCACAUCCCCGUGGUGGCGACUUUGCAUACGAAUGUCAUCCAUAUCAACUUUCGAUGCCAGUUUCUGCACAUACCAUGGUGACCAUGGGGAAUCAGGGUUCCAUUCCGUACAGGGACCCUGAGAAACGGCUACCACAUUCAAGGAAGGCAGCAGGCGCGCAAAUGACCCACUCCUGACGCGGGAAGGUAGUGA